GGCGCCAUGGCCAAGUGGUAAGGCAAAGCUCUGCAAAAGCUUCACUCUCCAGUUCGAGUCUGGAUGGCGCCUCCA
rnacentral:tRNA from 1 species